CCACGCCCUCGCUCCCCAAUUAUGCUCGUUGAAUCCCUUCGUUCAGGAUAGCGAGGUAAUUCGUGGUUUGCUGUGCGUGAAGAACGUCCCGCAGUUCUCGAUGGGAGAGAGAAUGGUUCUAAAGCGCCUCUUGCCUGGUUCUUUUCAUGCACAGAACAGAAUUAGAAAUGUUAAUUAUCUAAAAAGGAAAAGAUAGACAGAAGGAAACACGAAGAAAUUCACAUAAUAUAGAAUCAGGUUCUUGUCCUCUCGCUUGGUUGCUAUUCGCGAUCCCACUGCUCCACGUUGGACUUUCAUGCG
rnacentral:lncRNA from 1 species